UACGUAGGGUGCAAGCGUUGUCCGGAAUUAUUGGGCGUAAAGAGCUCGUAGGCGGUCUGUUGCGUCGGCUGUGAAAACCCUGGGCUCAACCCCGGGCCUGCAGCCGAUACGGGCAGACUAGAGUUCGGCAGGGGAGACUGGAAUUCCUGGUGUAGCGGUGAAAUGCGCAGAUAUCAGGAGGAACACCGGUGGCGAAGGCGGGUCUCUGGGCCGAUACUGACGCUGAGGAGCGAAAGCGUGGGGAGCGAACAGG
rnacentral:rRNA from 1 species